GAUAUUGACGAUGCAGAGCAAGAAAUAUUAUUAAAAGAGAAAGGGGAAAAAGGAAGUUGAGAUUUACACACGCGCAGAGAAGACAUUUUUCUUUUUUCCGCGAAGUAAUACUCUCCUCCGACUUGCUACCGUCGUGUCACAACUACCUAUUCUUUACAAGCUAUUUUCUAUAGAGAAGCCAGCAACAAGACGAUUUCUUUUUCUCUUCAUGCGCGUGUCACGUUCCGAGCAUGAUACACAGGAUGGAAAGAGAAAUAUAGCGUUUAGAAUGUUGUAUAUAUUAUUAAUUAAUGAUUAAUAUUAAUAAUUAUUAUUAUUGUAUCGGCCCGAUAGUUUAAUUAAUUAAUCAAUUAUAUCGUGUUAGUCGGCAUAAUUGUGGAUUCAGUUUUUGUACGGUACGGAAACCGAUCUAAUCUAAUGAACGCGAUCGAUCGAUCGAAAAUCUGUUGGAUUGAGAGAUUGGUUACGUUCUCCUCAGCUCGUCGCUCGGUCAUUUUUCACGUUUUAUUUUUCUUCCUUUUGUUCUUUUUUUCUUUUUUUUUUGCGUUCGAGCGACGACGCUUCCGGGACGAGCCACUGUUAUUUAAAACGCAUUAACGAUUGGCCGAAGCAUAAUGGAUCACAGCGAAUAAAGCAAGUAAAAAAUAAAGAAACGUGUUUUUAUAUCAGCGCGUGCUCGUGUUUCGUUUCAACGCUUUCUUUCUUUAUUUCUUUUUUUAUUUUUUUUUUUUUUUUAAUAUCACCCUUUUAUCGACAAACGUAUUUUACAUUAAUUUUCAUAGUAUGUUCUGAAUUUUUGUUCUUUUUGUAUCUUAUGUCCCAUUUAUUUCCCCGUUUUUGUUAUCUUGUUCUUUCCUAUUUUAAAUAACUAAGGUGAAUUUCCGUUUGUAUCUGCAUGAGUAAUUUUUAGUUCCUUCUUUAUUUUCAUUUAUGUUGGACAACACCUCCUUAGGUUGAUCCGAUUUCUUUUUUUUUUUUAUUUCUUUCUAUUUCAAUGUCGCAAUUUUUUUUUUUUUUUUACACCAACAACACAUUCGACGAAAUUACUUUAUACACACGAGGAUCGAUCGAUCGAUCCAACGACACGAUCGAGUCACAAUCGUUUCACUAUACUUGACGCGCUUUAAAUUUUACCUUGAAGUUUUACUCACGAACCUUGACAUUUUUUAUCAACGUCGAAUUCAGGGAGCGGAUAUAAUAAUCGUCGAUAAUUCGAUCGAUCAAUCGAUCGACAGAUCGAUUGUCCGCUGAAAGCGAAAAAGAAAAAAACAAAAAAAAGAAAAAAAUAAAUAAAACCGCAGGGAAUAUCUUGGCGAUCGCGACCUCUCGCCGAAGCGAAACAUUUUCCAAUUUGUUCCCGCCUCGGUCGCGGAGAGCGUUCGCGAACCAAGAAACAGAAGGAAAAUAGGGAAAUAAGAGAUAAGAAAAAGAAAACACACACACACAGAAAAAAAAGCAUGGGUGUUUCGAGAUAUUUUUUCGUGAACUGCCUGCCGCCUGCCUGUGUAAACUACGUUGCCUCGACAAAUGUGUCUAAUUUAUUGACGAAUACGGUAAUUAGCAGGUCCUUUAAGCUGCGUGCGUGCAAAUGAUGGGCGAGAGAAAAGAGAAAGAAAAAAAGAAAAGAAACGAUGCUGUGUAUGUGUGUGUGUAUGUACGAGUGCGUGUGUACGUUCGGCAAAAGGUGGUGAGUGUGAAAGAAGCGAGCAAACAAAGGGGCGAGUGAGAAUGGAUGAAAGAGGGAAAGCCGGAACAAAGAAUGCUAGCGCAUCUGGCAUCGGGUGGUCUUUCACGGAGUAUUUCGUCCGUUCUUUCUGCACGUCCGCGACAAAAGAAAGAAAGAAAAAAAAAAAAAAAGAAAGAAAAAGAACGAUUCUCGCGGCAAAUCGAAAAUUUAGCCAAGUCUUUGGAUUGUCGAGCGAAACACGGGUAAAUAGAGAGAGAAGAGAGAGAGAGAGAGAGAGAGAGAGAGAGAGAGAAAUAACGAACGAACGAGCAAACAUAUAGAAGAAAAGAAUAAGUGUAACGGACGAAAAAAAGUAAUAAAGGGGAGUUGUAGUACGUGCGGCCGUUUGUCUCCAUUCUGUUCGUGAUUUGAUAUUUUUUUAUAAUUCCGACGACGAGAGAGUACGAGAUUGGAGAGAAAGAGAGAUGGAGUGAGUAUAAAUGGAGCGUGUAUAGAGAGCGGACUGCUAUCUAAAAUAGUUCAGGCUAGAUGUCGAUGUUUGUAGCAGAUAAAGAACAAAAAAAAAAAACAACACAGCAUAUUGUAAUUAAAAUUAAAAGUCAUUAAUA